CCUACGGGAGGCAGCAGUGGGGAAUAUUGCACAAUGGGGGAAACCCUGAUGCAGCGACGCCGCGUGAGUUAAGAAGUAAUUCGUUACGUAAAGCUCUAUCAGCAGGGAAGAAACACUGACCUUACGGUCAGCAGACGGUACCUGAGUAAGAAGCCCCGGCUAACUACGUGCCAGCAGCCGCGGUAAUACGUAGGGGGCAAGCGUUAUACGGAUUUACUGGGUGUAAAGGGAGCUUAGAAGAUGCGCCAAGUUUGGAGUGAAAUGCCGCAGCUUAACUGCGGAACUGCUUUGGAAACUGGCGAACUAGAGUGCGGGAGGGUUAAGCGGAAUUCCUAGUGUAGCGGUGAAAUGCGUAGAUAUUAGGAGGAACACCGGUGGCGAAGGCGGCUUACUGGACCGUAACUGACGUUGAGGCUCGAAAGCGUGGGGAGCAAACAGGAUUAGAUACCCUUGUAGUC
rnacentral:rRNA from 1 species